rnacentral:misc_RNA from 1 species
GUAGGUGAACCUGCGGAAGGAUCAUUAACGAAUGUAUGUCUGCUUUGUGAACUGGGUGGGAUGUAGAGGGGGAUGUUAAAGGGGUGGCUUUAUUUAACGCUGUGGCUUUAUUUAACGCUGUGGCUUUAAUUAACAAUGUGGCUUUAGAUAAGGCUUUGGUUAAAAGCUCUGGCUUUAAUUAAACAACCUUUAUUUAAACACUUAAUUAAACAACCUUUAAUAUACCAUCUCUCCCACAACGUGUAAUAAC